CGGCGCAAAUACCUACCUGCAAUAUGGUGAACCGCCCCGGGUUGAAACACCCAGAGAAACCCUGUCGCCUCUUCUUUUGGCACCUGGCUACUUCCUUGUUCUAGCAGGUUAGGAGAAUUAUUAAAGCAGGUUAGGAGAACUAAAGUAGCAGGUUAGGAUAAUUCAUGUGGCAGGUUAGGAUAAUUAACGAGACAGGUUAGGAGAACUAACGUAGCAGGUUAGAAUAAUUAACAUGGCAGGUUAAGAUAAUUAACGUGGCAGGUUAGGAGAACUAAUGUAGCAGGUUAGGAUAAUUAACGUGGCAGGUUAGGAGAACUAAUGUAGCAGGUUAGAAUAAUUAACGUGGCAGGUUAGGAGAACUAAUGUAGCAGGUUAGGAUAAUUAACGUGGCAGGUUAGGAUAAUUAACGUGGCAGGUUAGGAGAACUAAUGUAGCAGAUUAGGAUAAUUAACGUGGCAGGUUAGGAGAACUAAUGUAGCAGGUUAGCAUAAUUAACUAGCAGGUUAUGAUAAUCCAUGUGUCAGGUAGAAGACCUAAUGUAUCGGGAUAGGAGAAUGAGGUUAUGAUCAGGACAAGGGUUAGGCUUAGCUAAAAUGCUACAAGGACAGCAGGUAACCUAGCAGUUAAGAGUGUUGGGCCAGUAACCGAAAGGUUGAUGGUUCGAAUCCCUGACCAGACUACGGGAAAAAUCUAUCGAUGUGCACUUGAGCAAGGCACUUAACCCUAAUUGCUCUGGAUAAGAGCAUCUGCUAAAUUACUCAAAUGUAAGUAGCCAAUAGCCAAUACAAGAGGGGGUGGGGUUUCUAUGGGCGUGGGCGUUUCUUGCCUAGUCUUGGCGAGGACGCGGGCCGCAGUCAGACCCUUCUCACCUGUGAAUGAUAAAGUGGGCGGAUCAUAGUUUAGAUAUGUCCACCCUAUUUCAGUCACGCCCGGCGCAGAGACAACAGAAAGGGAGAUAAUUGAGAAGGAAAUAAUCUGCAGUAGGGUUUCUUGAGUUUGCUGUCGCGCGGAAGAAGUUGCCUUUGCAAACACGGAAACCGGUAGAGCAAACGAAUUCACCCCGUAGUGCCUACAACCGAGUAGAAGAUCGGAAGGUGAUUCGUCCAGCAGCAUCCGCACAACUCGACGUCAAGGUAGCCUUGUCACUGCUUCAGGUGAGAAAGUAGUCGGGUGGUAGUAACAAAGGGACACUUGGACAAAUUGCAAACUACAUUGCUAGUUGAUGGGACUUAAUAUUGAUACCUCUCUUUCUAGUCAUUUCACAUUAGUCCUGUCAAGCUUGCACUGUGACAGUUUGAGUAUAGCCAGUGAGUAAAGUUAACCUGGAUGGCAGCAUCUGCAAGGGUAAACCAAUUGUAGGCUACCUGUGCAAACAAUGGUUAUUUCACCUU
rnacentral:lncRNA from 8 species